GGCUUCGUGGCUCAGCCCGUAGAGCGCUUGCCGCGUUGAGGCAUGAUGUUCCGGUCGCUGGUUUGAACCCAGCCGAAACCC
rnacentral:tRNA from 1 species